rnacentral:rRNA from 1 species
UACAGAGGGUGCGAGCGUUGUCCGGAAUUAUUGGGCGUAAAGGGCUCGUAGGCGGUUCGUCACGUCGGGAGUGAAAACUCGGGGCUUAACCCCGAGCCUGCUUCCGAUACGGGCAGACUAGAGGUAGGCAGGGGAGAGCGGAACUCCUGGUGUAGCGGUGGAAUGCGCAGAUAUCAGGAAGAACACCGGUGGCGAAGGCGGCUCUCUGGGCCGAUACUGACGCUGAGGAGCGAAAGCGUGGGGAGCGAACAGG